rnacentral:rRNA from 1 species
AGCGAACGCUGGCGGCAAGCUUAACACAUGCAAGUCGAACGAUGUAGCAAUACAUAGUGGCGGACGGGUGCAUAACACGUGGGAAUCUGCCCUUCAGUACGGAAUAACUCAGGGAAACUUGAGCUAAUACCGUAUAAUAUCUCCGGAUCAAAGAUUUAUCGCUGAAGGAUGAGCCCGCGGCAGAUUAGCUAGUUGGUGGGGUAAUGGCCUACCAAGGCAACGAUCUGUAGCUGGUCUCAGAGGAUGAUCAGCCACACUGGGACUGAGACACGGCCCAGACUCCUACGGGGGGCAGCAGUGGGGAAUAUUGGACAAUGGGCGAAAGCCUGAUCCAGCUAUGCCGCGUGAGUGAUGAAGGCCUUAGGGUUGUAAAGCUCUUUUAGAUGGGAAGAUAAUGACGGUACCAUCAGAAAAAGCCCCGGCUAACUUCGUGCCAGCAGCCGCAGUAA